rnacentral:rRNA from 1 species
GUGCCAGCCGCUGCGGUAAUACGGAGGGUGCAAGCGUUAAUCGGAAUUACUGGGCGUAAAGCGCACGCAGGCGGUCUGUUAAGUCAGAUGUGAAAUCCCCGGGCUCAACCUGGGAACUGCAUCUGAUACUGGCAGGCUUGAGUCUCGUAGAGGGGGGGUAGAAUUCCAGGUGUAGCGGUGAAAUGCGUAGAGAUCUGGAGGAAUACCGGUGGCGAAGGCGGCCCCCUGGACGAAGACUGACGCUCAGGUGCGAAAGCGUGGGGAGCAAACAGGAUUAGAUACCCUGGUAGUCCACGCCGUAAACGAUGUCGACUUGGAGGUUGUGCCCUUGAGGCGUGGCUUCCGGAGCUAACGCGUUAAGUCGACCGCCUGGGGAGUACGGCCGCAAGGUUAAAACUCAAAUGAAUUGACGGGGCCCGCACAAGCGGUGGAGCAUGUGGUUAAUUCGAUGCAACGCGAAGAACCUUACCUGGUCUUGACAUCCACGGAAGUUUCAGAGAUGAGAAUGUGCCUUCGGGAACCGUGAGACAGGUG